CCGAGAAUAUUCCGCAAUGGACGAAAGUCUGACGGAGCGACGCCGCGUGAUGGAUGAAGUGCUUCGGUACGUAAACAUCUUUUAUCGGGGACGAAAUUAUUGACGGUACCCGAUGAAUAAGGGGCUCCUAACUCUGUGCCAGCAGGAGCGGUAAUACAGAGGCCCCGAGCGUUACCCGGAAUCACUGGGCGUAAAGGGUGUCCAGGUGGUCGUAUUAGUCGUUUGUAAAAUCCGUGAGCUUAACUUACGGUCCGCAAGCGAAACGGUACGACUCGAGAGCGCGAGAGGUGCAUGGAACUCAUGGUGGAGGGGUGAAAUCCGUUGAUAUCAUGGGGAACACCAAAGGCGAAGGCAGUGCACUGGCGCGUUUCUGACACUCACACACGAAAGCCAGGGGAUCGAACGGGAUUAGAUACCCGUGUAGUCC
rnacentral:rRNA from 1 species